GUCUACAGCCAUGCCACCCUGAACAAGCCCAAUCCCAUCUGAUCUUGGAAGCUAAGCAGAGUCGGGCCUGGUUAGUACUUGGAGGGAGAUCACCUAGGAAGACCAGGUGCUGUAGGCA
rnacentral:rRNA from 1 species